GCACUCUUUCUUCGUCACAUCCUUUUUCCGUUGCUCCUCUCGCUUUGGAAACUUCUCCUCACGAUGAGAGCGAAGUGGAGGAAGAAGCGUAUGCGCAGACUGAAGCGUAAAAGGAGGAAGAUGAGGCAGAGGUCUAAGUAAGCCCUCAUCCCUGCAGCUGUGAUCCUGUCUGAGCCUCUCCAGUUGACUGACUCCCUUCAUCAGUGGAAGAGACCUAAACCCUGAUUUUGAGAUGACUGCGCAUCUCAUGCAGACUGUGGAAGUCUGACUGGAAAAGGCAAAGGCGCAGGACUAAACAUAAGAACUACAGCGGCUUCUUCACGGAUCAUAAUGCAUAUUGUUUUAUGUAUUGAACAAUAAACACUUUAAAAUGUA